rnacentral:rRNA from 1 species
AGUGAACGCUGGCGGCGUGCCUAAUACAUGCAAGUCGAACGAAGUGGCGCACGGGUGAGUAAUAUAUAGUUAAUCUGCCCUACACAGAGGAACAACAGUUGGAAACGACUGCUAAUACCUCAUAGUGUAGGAUGAGACUAUAUCGUAUCAGCUAGUUGGUAAGGUAAUGGCUUACCAAGGCUAUGACGCGUAACUGGUCUGAGAGGAUGAUCAGUUGCGUUGGAGCGGAGACGCGGUUCAAACUCCUACAGGAGUCAGCCGUAUGGUGUCUUGUGCAAUCGUGGUAUCUCUGACGAGGAAGCGUCGGGAGGAGAAUGACAAUUAUCGUGGAUUAAAAUACUUCUAUCAGGAAAGCAGAUCAGCAGGACUUACCACCGGCUAACUCCGUGCUAGCAGCCGCGGUAAUAC